rnacentral:rRNA from 1 species
UACAGAGGUCUCAAGCGUUGUUCGGAUUCAUUGGGCGUAAAGGGUGCGUAGGUGGCGAGGCAAGUCAGAUGUGAAAUCCCGGGGCUCAACCCCGGAACUGCAUUUGAAACUGCCUUGCUCGAGUACUGGAGAGGAGACUGGAAUUUACGGUGUAGCAGUGAAAUGCGUAGAUAUCGUAAGGAAGACCAGUGGCGAAGGCGAGUCUCUGGACAGUUACUGACGACUGAGGCAGCGAAGGCCAGGGAGCAAACGGG